rnacentral:rRNA from 1 species
GAUUAAGUGUCGUAAGGGCAUUUGGUGGAUGCCUUGGCAUGCACAGGCGAUGAAGGACGU